GAUGAAGAACGUAGCGAAAUGCGAUAAGUAAUGUGAAUUGCAGAAUUCAGUGAAUCAUCGAAUCUUUGAACGCACAUUGCGCCCGUCAGUAUUCUGGCGGGCAUGCCUGUUCGAGCGUCAUUACGCCCCUCAUGUCCCCUGUGGACUUGGUGUUGGGGAUCGGCGAGGCUGGUUUUCCAGCACAGCCGUCCCUUAAAUUAAUUGGCGGUCUCGCCGUGGCCCUCCUCUGCGCAGUAGUAAAACACUCGCAACAGGAGCCCGGCGCGGUCCACUGCCGUAAAACCCCCCAACUUUUUAUAGUUGACCUCGAAUCAGGUAGGACUACCCGCUGAACUUAAGCAUAUCAAUAAGCGGAGGA
rnacentral:misc_RNA from 1 species